rnacentral:rRNA from 1 species
ACUACGGGAGGCUGCAGUGGGGGAUAUUGCACAAUGGGGGGAACCCUGAUGCAGCGACGCCGCGUGGGUGAAGGAGUGCUUCGGCAUGUAAAGCCCUAUCGGCAGGGAAGAAGCAAGACGGUACCUGACUAAGAAGCCCCGGCUAACUACGUGCCAGCAGCCGCGGUAAUACGUAGGGGGCGAGCGUUAUCCGGAUUCACUGGGUGUAAAGGGAGCGUAGACGGCCAAGCAAGCCAGGGGUGAAAGCCCGGGGCCCAACCCCGGGACUGCCCUUGGAACUGCAUGGCUGGAGUGCGGGAGGGGCAGGCGGAAUUCCUGGUGUAGCGGUGAAAUGCGUAGAUAUCAGGAGGAACACCGGCGGCGAAGGCGGCCUGUUGGACCGCGACUGACGUUGAGGCUCGAAAGCGUGGGGAGCGAACAGGAUUAGAUACCCUGGUAGUC